rnacentral:rRNA from 1 species
CCUACGGGAGGCAGCAGUGGGGAAUAUUGCACAAUGGGGGAAACCCUGAUGCAGCGACGCCGCGUGAGUGAAGAAGUAUUUCGGUAUGUAAAGCUCUAUCAGCAGGGAAGAAAAUGACGGUACCUGAUUAAGAAGCCCCGGCUAACUACGUGCCAGCAGCCGUGGUAAUAUGUAGGGGGCAAGCGUAAUCCGGAUUUACUGGGCGUUAAGGGAGCGUAGGCGGGAGGACAAGUCUGGAGUGAAAUGCCGGGGCUUAACCGCGGAACUGCUUUGGAAACUGUGCAGCUAGAGUACAGGAGAGGUAGGUGGAAUUCGUGGUGUAGCGGUGAAAUGCGUAGAUAUUAGGAAGAACUCCAGUUGCGAAGGCAGCUUACUGGACUGUAACUGACGUUGAGGCUCGAAAGCGUGGGGAGCAAACAGGAUUAGAUACCCCUGUAGUC